ensembl:lncRNA
GAGGGAGCACUCACUUCGUAGUCAAGGACCUGAAAAGAAAUGAAUGGUUCACAGAAGUGCCCGGAACUCAACAGUCACCGAGCAGCCCAGUACAGAAUAACUGAAACAGGAGGGCCCUACGUGGCAGUCCCUGGGAUGAGAAAACCGUGUGUCAAAGCUGCUGCCGAGUCCCUCUCUAUUUUUACCUUCCUCACACUACCUCUUUGAGCCUGGAGGAGGCAUCUUGGCCUGAGGUGGCCCGAGCUGGCGUCUCUGAGGCAGAUUCAGCCAGCCCUCAGCUGGUUCUCCAGAAACCACUACCAAAAUGCCAGGAUAAUUCACCCCGGCUUCCCUCAGCCCCAAGGCUGGGCCAGCACCCUGAAGGAUACAUCACUGGAUCCUCCUAAGUGGAGGAGAGAAGAUCCCCAUUUUUACAGAAUGCUCGUGACUGAAUGGGCCGAGGCCCUUGAGGAACUCUCAGAACACCUAGGGCUUCACUCUGCAGGGAAGAGUCCUGGGAUGAGGGGCAGCAGGCCAUCCGUGGCCUGGUUACCGUGUUUCCUCCUGGACUACCCAUGAUCACAGCUCAGCAGAUGCAAGGGGCAUGGGAGCAACACAGAUGUCCACCGAUGGAGGGAUGGAUAAAGAAUAAGCGGCACAUACACACAGUGGAAUAUCGCCCGGCCAUAGAGAAGGGUGAAAAUGCCAUUUGCAGAGAUGCGGGUGGACAACAGAGACUAUCAUUCUGAGUGAGGUGAGUCAAACAGAGAAAGACAAAUAUCAUAUGAUAUUACUUAGCUGUGGAAUCUAAAUCUAAAAAAAAAGGUACAAGGGAACCUAUUUACAGAACAGAUAUAGUCACAGAUGUAGAAAAUAAACCUAUGGUUACCAUGGAGGAAGGGAGGGAUAAAUUGGAAGCCUAGGAUUGACAUAUACGCAGUACUGUAUAUAAAAUAGAUAACUAAUAAGAACGUACUGUAUAGUACAGGAG